GCCGUGAGAUCGUGACCUGAGCCGAAGUCGGACGCUGAACCGACAGAGCCACCCGGGCGCCCCAAGACAACAGUAUUAACAGUAUGCACUCUCUUGGGUCACUUGCCAGCUGCCACGUGUGAAGGCAGUCAAACCGUCCUACGGGGAGGCCUGUGUGGGGAGGACAUGAGACACCCAGCCAAUGGCCAGCACUAAUUUGCCAGCCAUGUGAAUAAGCCACCUUGGAAGUGGAUCCUCCAGUCUUUGGAUGGCAGCUGUUCGACAAGGUGACUUUCAUGACCCACCCUAGACAGGUCCGCCAUUUCCUCCACCAUUUCCUCAAUGGCCUGUCGGUCGCAGUCAGCCCGAUUCAAUGCGGAAGGAACUUUGUGAGCCGAUGAAUGCCAGGGGACUGGAGUCACUGGGGCCCCUCUUGGAGUGGGAUACUUGCUUUUUCUAGAAAACGAUGGUUGCUGACAUUUGCCCUGUCGUUGCUAGGUUAUAGACGCUGUUGACAGUGCUUUAUGUGUAUCAGCCCAUUGAAUCUUCCCAACAACCCCUGUACGAUUAUCCUGGUUUUAUAAACGAGGAAACCGAGGCACUAAGAGUUUAAUAAAUGUCAUUUGCUCCGGGUGCAGAAAACCCGGGAUCAAAACUCAGGCCGUCUGGCUUCAGAAGCCACGCUCGGAAGCACUCUGUUAUCUCACUCCCUGGUCGUACUAAAUUCUGCCCCUAAGACUUGGUGUACCAUUGUCCCGUGGGAGUGGAAAUGGAAAUAUCAAGGAUGGGAGGGAGCUGGAGAAAGGGGGGCCGCUUGUUUGCCACGGUGCUAAGAACAGCAGGUCAAGAAUCUGGAAGCCCCUGCUUUGCUGGAAAGACUGUGAUCUAUACCAUGACCCUCUCUGUACCCAGUGCCGGUGGCAGCCGGCUCCUUGUUUCUCAUCACCGCACAGAAACGACCCAGGAUGCCUUCUGAUGCUGUGUAUAUACAGCGACCAAGCUACCUGGGCAUCUUCACACCUCCUUGGAAAAGAAUACAGGAGAUGAUUUAACAUGUGGCUCACAGCUGACUCUUGUAGGGGCUCAGAGAAGCGACGAGAAGACAAAUACCACCUGGGCACUUUUGCACCAUUCCGUGUGGCUCAAGGAUGGAGCCCCCCCCCCCCCGCCCCUUCAUUUAGGGAAGGCCUCCCUUUCCAACAGGAAGCAGGGGGAGGGGCACCGGGAUUAUAUGUUCAGGGAUCGAGACGGUGUGUAUGAGCUGGUGGGAUCCGGUAAACCGUUGAGUCUGGUCACGGGGACCCCACUCUGCCUCCCAGAAGUCCUUGGCGUGUGUAGUCCAAUCAAGUGGUAAUAACAGGAAACACAUACGGAGCCUUGAACUCUCGUAAGUGUAAUAUGUAGCAAUCUUUUGAGGUGGGCGUGCUACCCUUCCCAUUUUGCAGAUAAGGAAAGUGAGGCACAGCGAGACUAAGUAACCUGCCCAGAUCUAUGCAGGGGUGAGUGGCAGGGCCAGGACUGUGGAUACAGGCAGUCUGGCUCCAGAGCCCAGAUUCAUAACUACCAUUCUCCACUGAUUUUCCAAGCAGGGGGAUCCUUGAGGCCAUCGGGCCCGACCUUUCCGUCAGUCACUCAUUCCUGAGCCAGUUUUAGGACCUUUGCGAUAUCUGUGUCCCACCUCUAAUGCCACUAACGAAACUUUUUCAUUCUCGUAAUUCACUCCGUCUACUUGAAUACGUUUGUCUGAAAUGAAACCUUGAUAUUCGCACGAGGGGUGAAAACUCAGCAUCGUUUGCCAUAAAAAUAGAGAGGAAAUGUACAAAUAGGUCCCGCGAAAGCAGUGUGACUAACUUUGAGCUGAGUUCUGCCCUCCCCCGAGUCCCAGAGCCCCCGGUGCCUGAGUUGAGGGAUGAAAAGAGGAGAGGAAGAGGUGUCACCUUUACGGGACCUGCCCCCGGAGUACGCCGUGUGCCCUCAGGGUUUAGACGGAGGCCCAGGGAACUGCCGCACCCGCGACCAGCAGGACCCCUGACUCCUGAGCACAGGGCCCUCCGCGCUCAUUAGGCACAUUUUCACACGCGCUGCCCCCGCCAGGUUAAUUCCCGAGUUAAUUCGUGUAACAUACCUGUUGAUGGUGGCUCCGUCUCCUGCCCUCGCCCUCCAGUUCUCACGUUCCUGAAGCAAUUCCUAACCUCCACCGGCCCCCGCUGUCAUCGGCCACACCGGAGGUAGCCCCCGGCCGCGUGGGAACUUGGAUUCAGGGCCCCUAGAUCUAGGGGUUUGCUGUCACUGUGGAGGCUCAUUUAACUUCUUUCCAUCUGCUGGCGCCAUCUCCAAGUGGAGGCUAACAGCACUUUCUCUAAGGACCUCAAAGGGCUGUUGUCAGGACGCAAGGGAGGUCAAGGAUUUGGAAACGCACUGGUAGAAAACACGGCUCCGAAUGUGCGAGUGUUCACGCCAACCCUCACUUAUCCGGCAUCCGCAAGCGAUGAGAACCCUGAAGGAGGGGAGAGGCAUUUGCACACAAAAGAGAGAACUCACAGCCGGCUCCUGCUGCACGAUGGGCCAGGUGCUAGCGAGUAUUAACGAAUUCGGACGUGACACCACGUGGCCCCGACGUGAAGAGAGUCGUGGUGUAAAAGGCAGGUAACACACAGUUACGUGUGUGAUGGGAUUCCUCGUGGUGCAGACCCUCAGCCUUCUGGAGACCCGAGUCCCGCAGGUUGGGUGAUCUGUUUCCCCCAAUCACAUGACUUCAGAGCUAACAGAUGAGAAAUGGGCAGGGCUCUUUCUGGGGCAAGGCAAACUUCCUUGAUGAAGAAGAGGGGCUGACUUGGAGGGAAGGGGUAAGAGAAUGAAGCAAUUUGUGCUUUGAAGUCUGAGGUCACUAUCUAUCUAUCAUCUAUGUAUCUAUCAUCGUCAUCUAUCUAUUAUCUAUCAUCCAUCUAUCAUCAUCUAUUAUCUAUCAUCUAUCAUUUAUCGACCCGACUUAUCACUUUAUCUAUCAUCUUUCUCCCUGUCACCUAUCACCCAUCUAUCUUUCAUUUAUUACAUUUUUUGUUCGACCCCCAUCUCUGGAAUAAAACUUCCACAAGUGCAAGGGUGUUUUUUUUUUUUUUUUCUCCCCAGACAGAGUAUGUGGCCUGAGCACGCAUUUAGGCACCUCGUACAUGUCUGUUGGUUAACCUCCAACUCUGGGUUAUCAAGGAAAGGUCAAGUUGUAGUUCAUAGAUUUUGAAAAUAGAGCCCUUGAUUUGUGCUUUUACCCUCAUCCCCUGAGACCUUAUAAGGUGUCGGCAGGUACAUAAUUUCUGGUCCUGGAGAGCAGGGCCCCACCCACUGACCUUUAUAUCCCGCAGCAAGCCCGGGGCGGACACCCAGAAGCCACAGCCCUUCUCCACCUGGCCUCCUCUCGUGGACUUCCCUUGAGGGACUUCCCAUGGAAGAACUUCUACAGAGAAACAGGUUUUCUUUAUUUCUAUUUUUUUGCCAUUUGCCCAAUUUUCUUCAUAAUUUCCGUAUUUCUUACUACUCUUUCAAAGUCAUUUAGAGGAUAGGUAACCAGGAUCCCUGUGAUAGGACCGACGUCAAGAGCAAGGACAAGACAGUGACUAUUGCAAUUUACUUGUCCACACUCCUCCACUUAAAAAAAAAAAAAAAAAAAACUAUAACGGCAAAAGUUUCAAAUUAGCAACCCCCAAAUGCCUUGCUUAACGUGAGUACUUUUUAGGACUACCGUUGCCAUAGCAACCUGAAGCCUCUCUUGAUGGUCACUGUACCGGAUUCUAUUGAAGCUAAAAAUUACCUUAGCCUCGUGUAUAUGCUUGGCCAGCACAGUAAAGACUGGGUUCCAGAAAAUUAAAACUUUUUUUAACCGGUUUGAAAUUACUUCUACUGGAGCAAAAGAAACCUCUCAAAUCUAAGUGUUCUUCUUCUUCUUCUUCUUCUUCUUUUAAAGGCAUAAUUUGUUGGACAUUAAAAUAACAAAAGGGCUUUGAGAAAGGAUUAUGUGUUUCUGAUGUUUCACCACUAGAAUAGAUUUACCUUAUAUCUGACUGAUGUAAUCUUGCGUUCUGAGGUAAUGUUUUAGCUCUUUUUCUUCCCAUCAAUAAAGAUCUCAACGAUAGCACUUCGUUCUUUCUCUAGAACAUUCCUUCAGAUUUUUUUGCUCUCCAUCUUGUAAACCAUUUCAACCAGGAUGGCGUACAAAUUGGAUGCAGGACUUCUGUCGGGGCAGGGAACUCAUUACCAAGGGUUUUUAUUGCUACAAGCUUAAAAUGGAAAAUGUUUCAAGUCUGGAGAGUUCCAGUGGAGAUGUCCCGCAUCAGCUGCUUUCCCUAGCUACGAGGAGAAGAGGAGAAGAAAUUCAGUUCAGAGUUCUCUUCUUAACCCAGAAGGCGCCUGGCCCUGGGAUCUCACUGAGCUCGGGGCCUGCAGAAGAAUAGCCACUGGGGUAAUUCUGAUUUCAGAAAGAAAGCGCCUGUUUACAGCCCUGGCCUCCCUGGUAAUCACGUGAGCCUCCUUUCCCCCCUUGCAACCUCGGCCGACUGGCCUACGACUCUCCAGGGCAAAAUCUCUUUAAAAAUUCACAGAUAUAUCCCUCUCCAUGCAAAUCGACUGCAGAAACUACCCGGGCUUUGAAUAUCUUUUGAAACGGAAACAACUGUAUGUAAAUAAAGGGCUGUUAUUUACCAACAAGAGGACAAAAGCCCCGGGCACCCCCUUCAGCUCAGGGCCCCCGCAGGACUUCUCUCCCCAGCAACUUCAUACUUAUUAGCUUGAUUGCCAGCUUCGGUUUAUUAUUCACAAACUCACCCUGAGCCCUGCCUUUGAAUGCGUAGAAAAAAUGGUGUUUAUGUUCCAGAAUUUUUGCUUUAUUCUCAUGACUGAAGUAAACGAUGAAGUAUUUUCUGCCUCAGCAGAGCCAGCAGGGAAGAAACACACGUUGUAAUUAUCUUAAAUAAGCAGGCAGGGGACUUGGCUUCUGGAGCCUUGCGGUAGGGGCCCCGGGAAAAAGUGGGGGACAGUGGGGUGUCCUGCCAUCUACACUCAGCCUUCCUCGCAUCUGCUCGCUUGGGACUAAAGAAAGGAACCGUCCCCCUUGCAAAGACGGCUUGUGUGUAAUUUAGUGACAGAAAUGUGCUCUCCGGCCAAUAAAACACAUACUGGGGUGUUUUUUUUGAAAGAUGAAAAUUGACGAACAUGUUUAAACGUUUUAAAGGAAAAUCAUCGUAUUCGGGCAACAGAAAAUGACAGGAGCAAACCUUAACUUUACUCAAAAAAAAAAAAAAUUCCAUUAAAAAGUCAUCACUUACAAUAGCUUCUUAGGAAUCUGAAACCAAUACCUUCAGAUCAAGAUUCUGAUCAGGACAAACCAAUCGGGCGAUUAUCGGAGUACGGAUAGCAUUCGACGCUGGGCCUCAACAAUAAUCUCAAACUCUGGUUCUCCCGACUUCCUGCAGGCUUCAUGGAAAUGAGAAUGUUAGCGGGACCCGUGUAGAACUCCCAGCUUCACUGCAACCCCAGUGAAAUGAAAUCUGUGUCUCUCUUGCAACUCGGAGAUCCACCUAUGAGCUGGCAGAUAAUUACAGGUCAUGAUCUAAAGUUUCGUGUUUCAUUUUCGCCUGAUGCCCGCAGAAUUAGGACAUUAGUUUCUCAUAAAUCAGUGCCCUUCAAUCAAUUACGCUUAGUCACCAAGAACCCGUGAGCUGAGCCAUCAUCAGAUGGGCUGGCUCCUACCCGCUCGAGGCUUUUGUCUUCCACUUAGAGCAGGUGAUUUAUUUAUUGAAACAUCGCUGAAACGGGAACGUCUUUCUCCCUUUCUUUCAGCUGUCCUUGGAGCCGAUCCAGCCUUCCUCCGCUCCCAGUUCAGGAAUCGGUGAUCAUGGAACAGAAUUAGUUUUUGUCUCGUUCGGUGUUUCGGGGCUCCAGUCUUUAAAUCCCGGGGCCCGGCUGAAUAAAAUAACACCAAGAUGUUGUUGUUGUUGUUUUAUCCCCAAGGUGGAAGGAGAACUGACGUUUCUCGAACCCCCUGCUUCACACCCGCACACUGGGUGCUAAGUGACGGCAUCCGAUCUUCCCUGCCGCGCUGUCUGGGGAGAAUCCUUAUUCUUGUUUCAUUGUCCCGGGCCCCCAGGAGGUGGAGAACCUCAUCGUUGAGAAAGUGCGUCCAGGACCGCUUUGCCCUCCCAGCCCUCCUUGCCCUGACAGCAAAUCAAGAAAUUCACCCGUGCGGCGCUUGAACAGAAUGGCCUUCUAGAAGCUUGGCUCUUCCAGCUGUGGACGAUCGGCCCCGCGAACAGUCGCCAGUUCCUUCCUCUCAAGGCCCAUGCCGAAGUCUUUCUUCCUCCACCCACGGCUGCAGCUGGAUUUGGAUUAAUUAGAAUUAAGGGCUGUCUAGAGCCAACAGCCUUGUGUAGGGGAAGGGGAGAGAGCUGGAGCCAGAAGACAAGCCAGAGCCUCUGACUGUGACAAGAUGUUUUUGUGCCUGGGAUACGCCGGAAGAUAAAGACUGGGAGCCUCUGGCAUAGUCUGUCCUUGCUGGAUGGAUUCGCGAAUGCUCCGGGAGAAGUUGUCGUCGCUGCCUUGCUUCUUCUUCCAGACCAGAGAGGCUGUUCUGGAACAGGCGGUGGAACAUGCAAGAGGCUAUUGAAAACGUCAAUGACUGGGAAACAGCAACCAACACCCACGAGCAGAUUUUGUGAGGCGUAAAAUCACAUCGCUGCUUCUGAACGCGGCCUGGCCAGGGACUCACUUGGCUUCCCUUGGAAAACUGGAUAGAAAAACUGCACCGAACGAGGCUAGAGCUUUGUAUUAACCAUAACGUCAGAGAACGCAUUGCCAUUUGCCUUGACAACUUGAGUUUUUAUUUAUUUAUUUUUUUUAAUAUAUGAAAUUUAUUGUCAAAUUGGUUUCCAUACAAC